rnacentral:rRNA from 1 species
UAAGCGGAGGAAAAGAAACUAACAAGGAUUCCCCUAGUAACUGCGAGUGAAGCGGGAAAAGCUCAAAUUUAAAAUCUGGUGGCCUCUGGUCAUCCGAGUUGUAAUUUAGAGAAGCGUCUUUCCGCGCUGGACCGUGCACAAGUCUCCUGGAAUGGAGCGUCAUAGAGGGUGAGAAUCCCGUCUUUGGCACGGAUCCCGGGGCUUUUGUGAUGCGCUCUCGAAGAGUCGAGUUGUUUGGGAAUGCAGCUCAAAAUGGGUGGUGAACUCCAUCUAAAGCUAAAUAUUGGCGAGAGACCGAUAGCGAGCAAGUACCGUGAGGGAAAGAUGAAAAGCACUUUGGAAAGAGAGUGAAACAGUACGUGAAAUUGUUGAAAGGGAAACGCUUGAAGUCAGUCGCGUCGUCCGAGACUCAGCCUCGCCUCGGCUUGGUGUACUUCUCGACCGACGGGUCAGCAUCAAUUUCGCCCCUUGGAUAAUGGCGUGGGAAAUGUGGCACCUUUGCGGGUGCGUUAUAGUCCCUCGUCGCAUGCAAGGGUCGGGAUUGAGGAACUCAGCACGCGCCUUUCGGCGUCGGGGCUUUUGCCCACGAUACGUGCUUAGGAUGUUGGCGUAAUGGCUUUAAACGACC